rnacentral:rRNA from 1 species
CCGUGCCCAAGAGAUCGGGAUAACACCUGGAAACAGAUGCUAAUACCGGAUAANAACAGAUGAUGCCUAUCAACUGUUUAAAAGAUGGUUCUGCUAUCACUCUUGGAUGGACCUGCGGUGCAUUAGCUAGUUGGUAGGGUAACGGCCUACCAAGGCGAUGAUGCAUAGCCGAGUUGAGAGACUGAUCGGCCACAUUGGGACUGAGACACGGCCCAAACUCCUACGGGAGGCAGCAGCG